rnacentral:lncRNA from 1 species
GGCCAAAAUAGAAAAGAUCAAAGAGGAAAAAAUUGAUCCAAGGAUACUGCUGCAAAAAAGCAUGAACAUGCGUGAGUCUCACGCAUUUUUGGCAGCCCUGGCCAAAUAAUUAUGACGUCUUGAAAGGCAAUUAUUUUUUUUUCUUUGACGCCUUACUUCGACGUCGAAGUAAGGCUUCAAAGAAAAAAAUUAUAAUAGCCUUCCAAAACGUCAUAAUUAUUUGGACUAUGGCCUUGAAGG